rnacentral:rRNA from 1 species
GAUGAACGCUGGCGGCGUGCCUAAUACAUGCAAGUCGAGCGAACGGACGAGAAGCUUGCUUCUCUGAUGUUAGCGGCGGACGGGUGAGUAACACGUGGAUAACCUACCUAUAAGACUGGGAUAACUUCGGGAAACCGGAGCUAAUACCGGAUAAUAUUUUGAACCGCAUGGUUCAAAAGUGAAAGACGGUCUUGCUGUCACUUAUAGAUGGAUCCGCGCUGCAUUAGCUAGUUGGUAAGGUAACGGCUUACCAAGGCAACGAUGCAUAGCCGAACUGAGAGGGGGAUCGGCGACACUGGAACUGAGACACGGUCCAGACUCCUACGGGAGGCAGCAGUAGGGAAUCUUCCGCAAUGGGCGAAAGCCUGACGGAGCAACGCCGCGUGAGUGAUGAAGGUCUUCGGAUCGUAAAACUCUGUUAUUAGGGAAGAACAUAUGUGUAAGUAACUGUGCACAUCUUGACGGUACCUAAUCAGAAAGCCACGGCUAACUACGUG